GAUGAACGCUAGCUACAGGCUUAACACAUGCAAGUCGAGGGGUAGCAGGGUAGCAAUACCGCUGACGACCGGCGCACGGGUGAGUAACACGUAUCCAACCUUCCCAUAACUCAGGGAUAGCCUUUCGAAAGAAAGAUUAAUACCUGAUGGUACUUAUAUAGGGCAUCUUUUAUAAGUUAAAGAUUUAUUGGUUAUGGAUGGGGAUGCGUUCCAUUAGAUAGUUGGUGAGGUAACGGCUCACCAAGUCUUCGAUGGAUAGGGGUUCUGAGAGGAAGGUCCCCCACAAUGGUACUGAGACACGGAACAAACUCCUACGGGAGCAGCAGUGAGGAAUAUUGGUCAAUGGGCGCGAGCCUGAACCAGCCAAGUAGCGUGAAGGAUGAAGGUCCUAUGGAUUGUAAACUUCUUUUAUAGUAGAAUAAAGUGAGCCACGUGUGGUUUUUUGUAUGUAUACUAUGAAUAAGGAUCGGCUAACUCCGUGCCAGCCGCCGCCGUAA
rnacentral:rRNA from 1 species